rnacentral:rRNA from 1 species
UACAGAGGGUGCAAGCGUUGUUCGGAAUUACUGGGCGUAAAGGGCUCGUAGGCGGCCAACUAAGUCCGACGUGAAAUCCCAAGGCUUAACCUUGGAACUGCGUCGGAUACUGGAUGGCUUGAAUUCGGGAGAGGGAUGCAGAAUUCCAGGUGUAGCGGUGAAAUGCGUAGAUAUCUGGAGGAACACCAAAGGCGAAGGCAGUUAACUAUUCUGCUCCUGACAUUGAGGCACGAAAGCGUGGGUAGCGAAACGG